rnacentral:rRNA from 1 species
UACGUCGGGUCCGAGCGUUGUCCGGAAUUACUGGGCGUAAAGAGCUCGUAGGUGGUUUGUCGCGUUGUUCGUGAAAACUCACAGCUCAACUGUGGGCGUGCGGGCGAUACGGGCAGACUAGAGUACUGCAGGGGAGACUGGAAUUCCUGGUGUAGCGGUGGAAUGCGCAGAUAUCAGGAGGAACACCGGUGGCGAAGGCGGGUCUCUGGGCAGUAACUGACGCUGAGGAGCGAAAGCGUGGGGAGCGAACAGG